GACGAACGCUGGCGGCGUGCCUAAUACAUGCAAGUAGAACGCUGAAGAGAGGAGCUUGCUCUUCUUGGAUGAGUUGCGAACGGGUGAGUAACGCGUAGGUAACCUGCCUUGUAGCGGGGGAUAACUAUUGGAAACGAUAGCUAAUACCGCAUAACAAUGGAUGACACAUGUCAUUUAUUUGAAAGGGGCAAUUGCUCCACUACAAGAUGGACCUGCGUUGUAUUAGCUAGUAGGUGAGGUAACGGCUCACCUAGGCGACGAUACAUAGCCGACCUGAGAGGGUGAUCGGCCACACUGGGACUGAGACACGGCCCAGACUCCUACGGGAGGCAGCAGUAGGGAAUCUUCGGCAAUGGGGGCAACCCUGACCGAGCAACGCCGCGAGAGUGAAGAAGGUUUUCGGAUCGUAAAGCUCUGUUGUAAGUCAAGAACGAGUGUGAGAGUGGAAAGUUCACACUGUGACGGUAGCUUACCAGAAAGGGACGGCUAACUACGUG
rnacentral:rRNA from 1 species